AGGCUUAACACUUGCAAGUCGAGGGGCAGCAUUUUAUUUUGGUUGCAAACUGAAGAUGGCGACCGGCGCACGGGUGAGUAACACGUAUCCAACCUGCCGAUAACUCCGGAAUAGCCUUUCGAAAGAAAGAUUAAUACCGGAUAGCAUACGAAUAUCGCAUGAUAUUUUUAUUAAAGAAUUUCGGUUAUCGAUGGGGAUGCGUUCCAUUAGUUUGUUGGCGGGGUAACGGCCCACCAAGACUACGAUGGAUAGGGGUUCUGAGAGGAAGGUCCCCCACAUUGGAACUGAGACACGGUCCAAACUCCUACGGGAGGCAGCAGUGAGGAAUAUUGGUCAAUGGGCGAGAGCCUGAACCAGCCAAGUAGCGUGAAGGAUGAAGGCUCUAUGGGUCGUAAACUUCUUUUAUAUGGGAAUAAAGUUUUCCAUGUGUGGAAUUUUGUAUGUACCAUAUGAAUAAGGAUCGGCUAACUCCGUGCCAGCAGCCGCGGUAAUACGGAGGAUCCGAGCGUUAUCCGGAUUUAUUGGGCUUAAAGGGAGCGUAGGUGGAUUGUUAAGUCAGUUGUGAAAGUUUGCGGCUCAACCGUAAAAUUGCAGUUGAAACUGGCAGUCUUGAGUACAGUAGAGGUGGGCGGAAUUCGUGGUGUAGCGGUGAAAUGCUUAGAUAUCACGAAGAACUCCGAUUGCGAAGGCAGCUCACUAGACUGUCACUGACACUGAUGCUCGAAAGUGUGGGUAUCAAACAGGAUUAGAUACCCUGGUAGUCCACACAGUAAACGAUGAAUACUCGCUGUUUGCGAUAUACAGUAAGCGGCCAAGCGAAAGCAUUAAGUAUUCCACCUGGGGAGUACGCCGGCAACGGUGAAACUCAAAGGAAUUGACGGGGGCCCGCACAAGCGGAGGAACAUGUGGUUUAAUUCGAUGAUACGCGAGGAACCUUACCCGGGCUUAAAUUGCAACAGAAUAUAUUGGAAACAGUAUAGCCGUAAGGCUGUUGUGAAGGUGCUGCAUGGUUGUCGUCAGCUCGUGCCGUGAGGUGUCGGCUUAAGUGCCAUAACGAGCGCAACCCUUAUCUUUAGUUACUAACAGGUCAUGCUGAGGACUCUAGAGAGACUGCCGUCGUAAGAUGUGAGGAAGGUGGGGAUGACGUCAAAUCAGCACGGCCCUUACGUCCGGGGCUACACACGUGUUACAAUGGGGGGUACAGAAGGCGGCUACCUGGUGACAGGAUGCUAAUCCCAAAAACCUCUCUCAGUUCGGAUCGAAGUCUGCAACCCGACUUCGUGAAGCUGGAUUCGCUAGUAAUCGCGCAUCAGCCAUGGCGCGGUGAAUACGUUCCCGGGCCUUGUACACACCGCCCGUCAAGCCAUGAAAGCCGGGGGUACCUGAAGUACGUAACCGCAAGGAGCGUCCUAGGGUAAAACUGGUAAUUGG
rnacentral:rRNA from 1 species